ACUGUUAGCAGUGUAGGAUUGAGGAGAUGGAAGAGACCUUUAAGACAGCUGGUCAUUAUGCUGACUGGGUAUCUGCACUAAGUUUGGCAUCAAUAUGGUGACCUCCUGGGAGCGGGGGACCACCAGGUUGUCUAAGGAUGGGAGAACUGGCCCAGGUCAGAAAGGGAGCAGGUCAGAAUUCCUGCACCAAUGGGUAGUGGGACUGUGCCUGGGCAAUAUAGCAAGAUCUU
ensembl:misc_RNA Metazoa_SRP Metazoan signal recognition particle RNA